GACGAACGCUGGCGGCGUGCUUAACACAUGCAAGUCGAACGGUAAGGCCCUUCGGGGUACACGAGUGGCGAACGGGUGAGUAACACGUGGGUGAUCUGCCCUGCACUUCGGGAUAAGCCUGGGAAACUGGGCCUAAUACCGGAUAGGACCACUGCCUGCAUGGGUGGUGGUGGAAAGCUUUUGCGGUGUGGGAUGGGCCCGCGGCCUAUCAGCUUGUUGGUGGGGUGAUGGCCUACCAAGGCGACGACGGGUAGCCGGCCGGAGAGGGUGACCGGCCACACUAGGACUGAGAUACGGCCCAGACUCCUACGGGAGGCAGCAGUGGGGAAUAUUGCACAAUGGGCGCAAGCCUGAUGCAGCGACGCCGCGUGAGGGAUGACGGCCUUCGGGUUGUAAACCUCUUUCAGCACCGACGAAGCGCAAGUGACGGUAGGUGCAGAAGAAGGACCGGCCAACUACGUGCCAGCCGCCGCCGUAA
rnacentral:rRNA from 1 species